GGAGUGAAACCGGUAGGAUGGAAGCGGAUAGAGCCAACGAACAAGUCCGUAUUCAGCUAGUCGGUUGCGUGCAACAUUUGCGGGUGACCGAUAGGUUACACGUUAGUGCGCGCGAUUAUGCAAUUGGCUAGUGCAUUUGCGGAUGAUGUGCGCCGAGGCGUGUGAUCUAGCACGUUACGARCUGCCCGGAGAGGCCUCGCUUCGGCGUGGUACCUACGCGGUCGGUGAGUGGUGUCGUGGUUGCACGUAGAUUUUAUGGGUUAGGUGUAAACGCGCUGCCGCCUCGACGGUCCGUUGUCCACGCAAGUCGCAUGCGACAAGUUGGGGUAAUCGGGCAUUAGAGUGCGGUAGUGAACUGGCCUUCCCUCGGUGUAAAAGUUGGUCAUUUCUCCGACCCGUCUUGAAACACGGACCAAGGAGUCUAGCGUAUACGCGAGUCAUUGGGCGUUGAAAACCCAUAGGCGUAAUGAAAGUGAAUGACUCUCUCGGGAGUCUGAUAUGCGAUCCGUUAUGCUACGGUGUAGCGGAGCAACAUAGCCCCAUCUCGACUGCUUGCAGUGGGGUGGAGGUAGAGCGUACUCGCUGGUACCCGAAAGAUGGUGAACUAUGCCUGAGCAGGAUGAAGCCAGAGGAAACUCUGGUGGAAGUCCGAAGCGCUUCUGACGUGCAA
rnacentral:rRNA from 1 species